rnacentral:lncRNA from 1 species
AAGAACUGUCAUUAUUUGUUUUUUACAGUACGGACAAUCAAAGUUUUGACCGUGCAUAUCGUCAACGGAUUAAGUGUAUUUUGGUAUUGAUGCUUACACUGUCAUUUAUUUGCAUGAAAAACAUGAUCGUCAACAAUUUGAUUUUUUUUUCUUUUACUUUUGUGCUAAACUAGAGCUGAGUUUGCACUUAAUCCGAAGGAUGUGAACUUGACCAAAAAAGGCUCUUCCCCUGGUAAUGCUGGUGAAUUGUCCAAAUCAGAAAUUAAGGAUAGAAUUAACCGGCUAUAUCAAACACUCACAAAUACGGUACACUUCUCUUUUCUUAAUGGACUGGUGAUAAGUUAUGACAAGCAUCGAUUGCAUAGCAACAAUAGUAAGGCUCAUACAAUUAACUUCAUAUUUUGGUCUCAUUCUCAUUGUCAUGCUGUACAAUAUCUUGAUUUCCAAUAAAAAAUUCAUCCUCAUAGCGAAGAGGCAUAUGACUAAUACUCCUAGUGCAACUUUGGUAGAAGGGAUAUGGACGUACUCUCGAUACUUUGUUCUAAAACCAAUUAAAGAAAUAGAUCAAUUACGUCUGUUGCAUUCAUUUCUAAUACUGCAAUUGAAAAAUAGGCAAAUGUUGAUGCUAUCUAUGUAGGCAAUGGUUUCUAUGUUACCUGAUAAGGGAGAGAAACUACUAAAAAAGAUUGCAGAACUGAAUAUAGAACUUGGAAACCUGAUGACAGAAGAAAAUAGUGUAAUUGAUUUAGAUGAAUUUAGUAGUGAAUUUGAGAGAGUGUUGAAUGCUUAAGCUCAUUAAAUAGAGAAAUUGAUUAAAAGGGGAAGGGUGAGAUAUUUUGAGUACUUCUUUCAUGUUGCCAUUGUGCCGCAGAUACUGAGACACCUUAAGGAGAACAAGCGGUUCUCCAUGUUUCUGCAAAUUUUGAGAACUCGAGUUAUAAAUAGCAGAAAGUCAUAAGCGAAACUAGUUAUUUUGAAGACGAAGCAAUUCUUAACGUAUUAUACAAAUAUGCUUACAAUGAGUUUAGCUUAAUUAUUCCAAAUCACAUUACAUGCUAAGGAGCUACUUCCCCAUCCAGAAAACGGGUACAUUGAUGAGAAAACAUCUGCACCUUUGCUUUUAUAUGUUUCAGUUCUCUUAAAUCCUCCACCCAUAUGCUAUAACUCGAGUUCCUACCUAGAACAUCUUUAGACACCUCCAUAUUUUCAAUUAAUUUCACAGCAUACUUCUCAAAUUUCUCAAUUUCAUCCCACAACACUGCCAACUUGUUUGUGUCCCUCUCACUUCUAACAUUACUCAACCAGUCCCUUGCUUCUUCUACCCUAGCCCAAAAGCAUGAAUCUUGAGUCAAACUUGCAAACUGGCUCCUGUCAUUACUAUUUUCCUCACCACUUCUAACCGUUUUAUCCUUCCACCACUUAUCAAAAAUCUCAUACCUUUUCUCUCUACCAUGCUGCAUGUAAUGACCCUUUUUUAUAUGCAACCCUUUACCAUAAUACUCAGCAAUAUCUAAUGGCUCAACCACUAGCUUAUAGGAAUGUGAAGCAUUGACCCACUUAGCUCGAUUGUUAAAAUCCCGAGGCAGGUCAUUCGUUUCCAACUUGUCAAUCACACCAUUCCAAAACUUGGCAAGUUUUACACGGUUCAUAUUGAUUCUCAUUUCCUUCUUUGAAGAACCCCGGCUCUUGAAUGAGUCAUAAUACCCCAUUUGUUCAUCUUGCUCAUCACACCAACUUUUGUACCAUUCUAUUUGGGCUCUGUAUGGUGCAACCUUGGAUAAGGCAACUGCUAGGCUUGCUGCAUUUAGAGUUGGUGAAGGACCGGUUCUCCUGGCUGUCUUUAGGCAUUCCUUGACAUCCAUUAUAGCUGAGUCUUCCUGUUGUUUACAUCACAUAAUUUGUUUAAUGGAAUCACCUUUUUCCCAUAGAUAAGAAAGUAAUGCCAGCAAUAGACUCUUUCACACACUCUUUUCAGUACAGUUGUUAAAUAUUAUUUGACAAGAUUUAAUGUGCCAUCUACUAAGUAGAGAGAAGAUGCGUGUGAUUUAAUGAGUCUUGCAUAAAGAGUGUGUAAAAAGUGUGUGAUUAGCAUUUGUCUAGAAACUAUAAAUCAUUUGUAGCUAAACAUGAAAUUCGGUUUGUUAUUUUAUUAAUUUAGUUCUAUUUAUAAUGAUGCAAAUAUUGUGCUGAUUUUUGUGGAAAUUUGUGAAAAUUUGGUAAACAAAAUUGUUCUGUUUUCAACGUUUCCUUUAAAAGUUUUGAAUAUAAAAAAUUAAUUAAAAAGCAAUGUAUCAGUCUUAUAAAUAUUAAUGAAAAAUGAUUAAUAGGUUAGAAUUUUGGUGUAUACAAGUUAACAAAAAGGAAGAAAACCUAGAGUCAAGAUCGGGAAAUUACCUGGUUUGCUAUCCCACAAGACUGGAUGGCCAGUUCAAAUCCAGCUUCAUAACUUGAGUCAGGAAUGUUCCUCUGCAUGGAGUUUCUCUGAAGCAAGAAUUGCAUAGACACUUUGUUAACAUAAUCUCCAUACCUCAGAUGGUCCUCAAUACUACAAGCUGGGGAACUUGUUGAAAGCAUCAAUUGCAUCAUCUUUAUAAUUGUGGCUGGAC